CAGCCGCCACGGGAAUACGAAGGGUGCAAGCGUUACUCGGAAUUACUGGGCGUAAAGCGUGCGCAGGUGGUGGUUUAAGUCCGUUGUGAAAGCCCUGGGCUCAACCUGGGAAUUGCAGUGGAUACUGGGUCACUAGAGUGUGGUAGAGGAUAGUGGAAUUUCCGGUGUAGCAGUGAAAUGCGUAGAGAUCGGAAGGAACAUCUGUGGCGAAGGCGACUAUCUGGGCCAACACUGACACUGAGGCACGAAAGCGUGGGGAGCAAACAGGAUUAGAUACCCGCGUAGUCCCUGUCUCUUAUAC
rnacentral:rRNA from 1 species